AGAGUUUGAUCCUGGCUCAGAUUGAACGCUGGCGGCAGGCCUAACACAUGCAAGUCGAGCGGAUGAAGGGAGCUUGCUCCCUGAUUUAGCGGCGGACGGGUGAGUAAUGCCUAGGAAUCUGCCUGGUAGUGGGGGAUAACGUUCCGAAAGGAACGCUAAUACCGCAUACGUCCCACGGGAGAAAGCAGGGGACCUUCGGGCCUUGCGCUAUCAGAUGAGCCUAGGUCGGAUUAGCUAGUUGGUGAGGUAAUGGCUCACCAAGGCGACGAUCCGUAACUGGUCUGAGAGGAUGAUCAGUCACACUGGAACUGAGACACGGUCCAGACUCCUACGGGAGGCAGCAGUGGGGAAUAUUGGACAAUGGGCGAAAGCCUGAUCCAGCCAUGCCGCGUGUGUGAAGAAGGUCUUCGGAUUGUAAAGCACUUUAAGUUGGGAGGAAGGGCAUUAACCUAAUACGUUAGUGUUUUGACGUUACCGACAGAAUAAGCACCGGCUAACUUCGUGCCAGCAGCCGCGGUAAUACGAAGGGUGCAAGCGUUAAUCGGAAUUACUGGGCGUAAAGCGCGCGUAGGUGGUUCGUUAAGUUGGAUGUGAAAGCCCCGGGCUCAACCUAGGAACUGCAUCCAAAACUGGCGAGCUAGAGUACGGUAGAGGGUGGUGGAAUUUCCUGUGUAGCGGUGAAAUGCGUAG
rnacentral:rRNA from 1 species